rnacentral:rRNA from 1 species
UCAUACCUACGGGACGCAGCAGUCGAGAAUCAUUCACGAUGGGGGAAACCCUGAUGGUGCGACGCCGCGUGGGGGAAUGAAGGUCUUCGGAUUGUAAACCCCUGUCAUGUGGGAGCAAAUUAAAAAGAUAGUACCACAAGAGGAAGAGACGGCUAACUCUGCGCCAGCAGCCGCGGUAAUACAGAGGUCUCAAGCGUUGUUCGGAAUCACUGGGCGUAAAGCGUGCGUAGGCUGUUUCGUAAGUCGUGUGUGAAAGGAGCGGGCUCAACCCGCGGACGGCACAUGAUACUGCGAGACUAGAGUAA